rnacentral:rRNA from 1 species
GUGAUGACGAGGGAAUUAUAGUACCGAAGUUCCUGAUUCCACACUGCCAAGAAAAGCCUCUAGCGCGGCGGGAGGUGCCCGUACCGCAAACCGACACAGGUAGGCGAGGAGAGAAUCCUCAGGUGAUCGAGAGAACUCUCGUUAAGGAACUCGGCAAAAUGACCCCGUAACUUCGGGAGAAGGGGUGCUCUGGUAGGGUGUAUAGCCCGAGAGAGCCGCAGUGAAUAGGCCCAGGCGACUGUUUAGCAAAAACACAGGUCUCUGCGAAGCCGCAAGGCGAAGUGUAGGAUGU